rnacentral:rRNA from 1 species
CCUACGGGAGGCAGCAGUGGGGAAUAUUGCACAAUGGGCGCAACCCUGAUGCAGCGACGCCGCGUGAAGGAAGAAGUAUUUCGGUAUGUAAACUUCUAUCAGCAGGGAAGAACAUGACUGUACCUGACUAAGAAGCCCCGGCUAACUACGUCCCAGCACCAGCGGUAAUACGUAGGGGGCAAGCGUGAUCCGGUUUUAUUGGGUUUAAAGGGUGCGCCGGCGGCCUGUUAAGACAUCGGUAAAAGCCCGGGGCUCAACCCCGGCGAGCAGUGGAAACUGGCGGGCUGGAGUUGGAGAGAAGUAGGCGGAAUGCGGGGUGUAGCGGUGAAAUGCUUAGAUAGCGCGCAGAACCCCGAUUGCGAAGGCAGCGUACCGGCUGCACACUGACGCUGAGGCACGAAAGCGUGGGUAUCGAACAGGAUUAGAUACCCGAGUAGUC